rnacentral:rRNA from 1 species
AUAACGGUCCUAAGGUAGCGAAAUUCCUUGUCAGGUAAGUUCUGACCCGCACGAAAGGCGUAACGAUUUGGGCGCUGUCUCAGCUGUAGACUCGGUGAAGUCUUAGUACCUGUGAAGAUGCAGGUUACCCGCGACUAGACGGAAAGACCCCAUGGAGCUUUACUGUAGCUUGAUAUUGGACUUUGAUGCAAGAUGUACAGGAUAGGUAGGAGACUGAGAGACAUGCACGCCAGUGUGUGAGGAGUCAAUGUUGGGAUACUACUCUUCUUGUAUUGGAGUUCUAACCGGAUGCCAUGGAACUGGCAACGGGACAGUGUCAGGUGGGCAGUUUGACUGGGGCGGUCGCCUCCCAAAGAGUAACGGAGGCGCCCAAAGAUACCCUCAGCUUGGAUGGAAAUCAAGCGCAGAGUGCAAAGGCAUAAGGGUGUUUGACUGCGAGACCUACAAGUCGAGCAGGGACGAAAGUCGGGCUUAGUGAUCCGGCGGUGCUGAAUGGAAAGGCCGUCGCUCAACGGAUAAAAGCUACCCUGGGGAUAACAGGCUGAUCUCCCCCAAGAGUCCACAUCGACGGGGAGGUUUGGCACCUCGAUGUCGGCUCAUCGCAUCCUGGGGCUGAAGUAGGUCCCAAGGGUUGGGCUGUUCGCCCAUUAAAGCGGUACGCGAGCUGGGUUCAGAACGUCGUGAGACAGUUCGGUCCCUAUCUGUCGUGGGCGUAGGAAGUUUGAGAAGAUCUGUCCUCAGUACGAGAGGACCGGGAUGGACAUAUCAAUGGUGCACCAGUUGUCACGCCAGUGGCACAGCUGGGUAGCUAAAUAUGGAAGGGAUAAACGCUGAAGGCAUCUAAGUGUGAAACCCACUUCAAGAUGAGACUUCCCAUUACGCAAGUAAGUAAGACCCCUUAAAGACGAUAAGGUUGAUAGGUCAGGAGUGUAAGCAUGGCGACAUGUUCAGCGGACUGAUACUAAUAGGUCGAGGACUUAACCUA